UACGGAGGGUGCAAGCGUUAUCCGGAUUCACUGGGUUUAAAGGGUGCGUAGGCGGUCGCGUAAGUCGGAUGUGAAAUCCCGGGGCUCAACCCCGGAACUGCAUUCGAUACUGCGUGGCUAGGGUACUGGAGAGGAAACUGGAAUUUACGGUGUAGCAGUGAAAUGCGUAGAUAUCGUAAGGAACAUCAGUGGCGAAAGCGACUUCCUGGACCAAUACUGACGCUCAUGUGCGAAAGCGUGGGGAGCAAACAGG
rnacentral:rRNA from 1 species